rnacentral:misc_RNA from 1 species
GGAAGAAAAAGUCGUAACAAGGGCUCCGUUGGUGAACCAGCGGAGGGAUCAUUACCGAGUGCAAACUCAUAACCCUUUGUGAACCCAUAUCUGUUGCUUCGGCGGCUCGCUCUCGGGCGAGCCCGCCGGUAAUAUCAGUAUCUCUGUUUGAACCCGACGAUACUUCUGAGUGUUCUUAGCGAACAGUUAAAACUUUUAACAACGGAUCUCUUGGCUCUA